AGUGAACGCUGGCGGUAGGCCUAACACAUGCAAGUCGAACGGCAGCACAGUAAGAGCUUGCUCUUACGGGUGGCGAGUGGCGGACGGGUGAGGUAUGCAUCGGAAUCUACUUUUUCGUGGGGGAUAACGUAGGGAAACUUACGCUAAUACCGCAUACGACCUACGGGUGAAAGCAGGGGAUCUUCGGACCUUGCGCGAUUGAAUGAGCCGAUGUCGGAUUAGCUAGUUGGCGGGGUAAAGGCCCACCAAGGCGACGAUCCGUAGCUGGUCUGAGAGGAUGAUCAGCCACACUGGAACUGAGACACGGUCCAGACUCCUACGGGAGGCAGCAGUGGGGAAUAUUGGACAAUGGGCGCAAGCCUGAUCCAGCCAUACCGCGUGGGUGAAGAAGGCCUUCGGGUUGUAAAGCCCUUUUGUUGGGAAAGAAAAGCAGCAGGUUAAUACCCCGCUGUUCUGACGGUACCCAAAGAAUAAGCACCGGCUAACUUCGUG
rnacentral:rRNA from 1 species